rnacentral:lncRNA from 1 species
CAGUGUGUCUACCGCAUCUGGCUCGUUGAGAAACUUGGCUUAGGUAAGAGGUCGGACAAUGUCUUAAGAUUGUCGGAAGACAGUCCCAUGCGAAAUGUUGAGUGCUCCCGCACUUGAGGCAGGAGUUGUUAAGAUGAUGGUAGGGGCGAUCACCGUGAUCCUUCUCGCCGUGACGACAGGAUUGGGUAAACUGGACGGGAUUACCAAGAGGUGGGUGAGGGGUAAAGAUAGGUACAAUGCGAGGUCUCUUCUCGACGCAGUCGGAGUUAGGGCUAGUAAAUCUCUUCCUAUGUUGUUGUUGUUGCUCCUGCUGAGUACGUAAAUGAGAGAUAUGUUGUUGUCAAGCCGCAACAAGUUCUUCGAACAU